AAAUGAAUCAUUACAAAGUAUGAUAUAUUUAAUUUGAUUUUUAAAAAAAUAUUUUUUUAGAGUGACACAAAAUCAUCUAACAGCUGAAGAUAAAGAUUCUCAGUGUAAUAUAGAUCAGAAUAUUAGCCAACCCAGUAGCUCAUCUACUAAUACAAUUCAACAAAUACAACCACAACAUAUACAGCCCCAAAUAUUACUAGAGAUAACUUUUACCCUCCAAUUUCAAAUAUAUUAACAAAUGUGGCCCAAAUACAAAGUUUUGCAUUUAACCACACUAAUAAUCAAACUACUUUUACAAACUUGGAACACAUUAACAAUGCAGGAAUUUUAUUAGACUUACAUAAUUCCAACAAUGAAAAUUUAAAUAUACAAUAUAUUCCAACUUCAAAAGGGAAUUUGUGCUUGUAUCAUGAUGGAUAAUAUAUAACAAAAGAAAAGAAUAUUCAAAAUCUAAU